CUUACUUCCGGGUUUGGUCACAUGGCUCGUUGCGCUAUCCAAUGGGCAGGAUGAAGUCGGAGCCCUUGAGUUAGUAAAUCUGUAGGAGAAGAGAUUCAUCCAGAGGAUGGAUGCUUGCUCCAAAUGAGGUGUGAGGAGCUGAUGGAGACAUAAAGGCUCAGGAUACAGGUUAGAGGUCUGACAGUAGGUGGAACGUCUGCUCUGCCGAGACUCUGACGUUCAUCUCCACCUUGAAACACAGCAUGUGGUUUUCCUCCAGUGUGUACAAUCUGACCUAUGAAUUAAAGACAUCCACAAAGAGGAGGCAGGUUCAGUGUCUAUAAAUAGCAUUCAUUUCUGGUGAUUAUACAUGCUCCUGGAAUGACUUAUGCUAACUUUGGGCAAAGUUUUCUUGACCUAUUCUGCAAUAUUAAAGAAUCUACAUAAAACACUAUAACCCAUAUUUUGAGCACCUCACUAUGACCAUGCAAACUGCUGGAAAUUCCAACGAGCUAUACCCUGAAUAGAUAUGCAAA